rnacentral:rRNA from 1 species
UCGGUUGGGCGGUCCGCUUAACGGUGUGUACUGCUGGACCGGGUUCUACCUCUUGGUGAGCCGGCAUGCCCUUCACUGGGUGUGUCGGGGAACCAGGACUUUUACCUUGAGAAAAUUAGAGUGUUCAAAGCAGGCCUACGCCCGAAUACAUUAGCAUGGCAUAAUAAAAUAGGACGUGCG